UGAACAUUUCGGCGCCCAAGUUCACACAUUCGUGGGAGGUUUGGGGUAUUUCCAGGGGUAGUUUGACCCCACCACUAAAACACAAAUCUACGUUAACUCAUAAGAACACGACGUAUAAUCUUUGCCAAGGCUUUCGUAGGAGUUUGGGGUAUUUCCAGGGGUAGUUUGACCAUAUCACUAUAACACAAAUCUACAUUAACUCUUAAGAACACGACGUAUAAUCUUUGGCAAGGCUUUCGUAGGAGUUUGGGGUAUUUCCAGGGGUAGUUUGACCAUACCACUAUAACACAAAUCUACGUUAACUCAUAAGAACACGACGUAUAAUCUUUGGCAAGGCUUUCGUAGGAGUUUGGGGUAUUUCCAGGGGUAGUUUGACCAUAUCACUAUAACACAAAUCUACGUUAACUCAUAAGAACACGACGUAUAAUCUUUGCCAAGGCUUUCGUAGGAGGUUUGGGGUAUUUCCAGGGGUAGUUUGACCAUACCACUGUAACACAAAUCUACGUUAACUCACAAGAACACGACGUAUAAUCUUUGCCAAGGCUUUCGUAGGAGGUUUGGGGUAUUUCCAGGGGUAGUUUGACCAUAUCACUAUAACACAAAUCUACGUUAACUCAUUAGAAAACGACGUAUAAUCUUUGGCAAGGCUUUCGUAGGUGGUUUGGGGUAUUUCCAGGGGUAGUUUGACCAUACCACUAUAACACAAAUCUACGUUAACUCAAUAGAACACGACGUAUAAUCUUUUCGGCCUGUGGAAAUGGUUCAUGUGAGGGACGGGAGCGUGUGAGAAUCAGGCUUGGGUUCAGGUACGGUAUAGUUUUUGCACUCGAGUUCACAACGUUUGCAUAGCGGUAUCACGAAUCCGAGUGCGGGUACAAAUACUUAAUUCUAUAGCUGAGCUCGACUCCAAAUACGAGAACUUCUAUACAGUAUUGUAAUAUAAGUGCAAAUACUUCUACUGAUUUAAUCUUGAUUUUUUUCUGCUUUUCUGUUUUUGUCAAGUGUCAAAUUGCCAAGCCGCCACCUCACCCCGGGGUCAAGCUUGGACACACCCUUGUCAGAACCUCACCCUGGUGGUUCAAUCAUCACACACACGAUGGCAUUUUUUGCUCUACUCGUAAAUUUGUUGGGGACUUGGAGCUCGAGUACUCGCGCUAAGGAACUCUUGACCCCGACUGCAAGCUUAAGAACAAGUACAUGAUAUUAAGUACUUAAGAACGAGUAAGCGUAGUUAGACUCGGUUUGUUGACAUCCGACAUAUAUAACAAUGGAUUCAGGUCCCAGUACUCGCGCUAAGGAACUCUUGACCCCGACUGCAAGCUUAAGAACAAGUACAUGAUAUUAAGUACUUAAGAACGAGUAAACAAAGUAAGACUCGGUUUGUUGACAUCCGACAUAUAUAACAAUGGAUUCAGGUCCCAGUACUCGCGCUA